GAGUUUGAUCCUGGCUCAGAUUGAACGCUGGCGGCAUGCUUUACACAUGCAAGUCGAGCGGCAGCGCGGGGGCAACCCUGGCGGCGAGCGGCGAACGGGUGAGUAAUGCAUCGGAACGUGUCCGGGAGUGGGGGAUAACGCCGCGAAAGCGGCGCUAAUACCGCAUAUUCUCUGAGGAGGAAAGCGGGGGACUCGCAAGGGCCUCGCGCUCGCGGAGCGGCCGAUGUCCGAUUAGCUGGUUGGUGAGGUAACGGCUCACCAAGGCGACGAUCGGUAGCUGGUCUGAGAGGAUGAUCAGCCACACUGGGACUGAGACACGGCCCAGACUCCUACGGGAGGCAGCAGUGGGGAAUUUUGGACAAUGGGGGCAACCCUGAUCCAGCCAUGCCGCGUGCGGGAAGAAGGCCUCGG
rnacentral:rRNA from 1 species